AAAACUCCCCACCCUUAGAGUUCCAGGUUUUCUUCAACGAUGUCACAGGCAAUGAUUUCAACACUCUCUUCAAAACCCUUCCAUUGUAUCAAAAAUACCUCGCUGCUGGAGUGCCUGGUACUUUCUAUGGUCGUUUGUUCCCGAAGUCAACGCUCCGUCUUGCAUACUCUUCCUAUUCCUUGCACUGGCUCUCUAAGGUUCCAGAGGAAGUUGCGGACACCAAAUCUCCGGCAUGGAAUAAGGGUAGCAUCCAGUGCAGUGGAACUGCAAAAGAAGUAGCAAAAGCGUAUUCAGCCCAGUUCAAAAAUGAUAUGGAUAGCUUUCUGAAUGCUAGAGCUCAAGAAAUUAUCGGUGGAGGAUUGAUGGUGAUCAUAAUUGCUGGUCUUCCUGACGGCAUCCUUAUGUCUCAGACUGGAGCUGGAAUAUUCAAUGACUUCUUUGGAUCUUGCCUCGUCGACAUGGCGAAAUUGGUAAGCGUAUAAAUGGUUUGUCUUUAACUUUUCAAGAGAUAACAGGUUUAUCAACGGAUUACAAAAGGCAAAUCUCGGGAUUACAGUAAGAGGGAAUGGUGGUAGGAACAGUGUCAAUUAUUAUUGUAGCACCAGACUCAUUUCGUGAAUUACAACAGUGAAGUUAUGAUUUUGCCCCCCGGUCAAAUUUGGCUUGGUUUAUAGGUGUAAGAGGGUCUUUUUAAUUUUUUAAUCAACAAUAAAAAUACUAAAAUGCUCUUGUAGACAAAGAAUAAAUGUUUUGUUUUUUAAAUUUCGAGUGCAAAGUAAAAUUACUUAAAUAUCCUUGAAGUAUAAAAAAGCCUUCGGUCUACUCAUGUUACGUUUUGUGUUAUUUACUAUUUUGUUGAUGGCAAUUAUGGUCUUUAAACUUAUAAAUGCACGGUAAACUUACUUAAAUAUUGUACUUUAAAGUAAAAUAUAAAAGCCUUCGGUCAUAAGUUUUUUAUAUAUAUUUUUUCAUAUUGGUUUUUUUUUUUGCUAGUUGUUGUUUAGUUAAGGGCAUUAUUGGUUUUUUUUAUAAAAAUUAAAUAAUAUUAAAAUUUAAGAAGUUACUAGCGUGUGCACGCAUCAGCGUGUACGUGGAGGAGUUCAUUCAUUUUGAGAGUGGCGCGUGCGGCUCCUUCUAGUUGCCAAAAUUAUCCUUUUUCUAUGUUGUUGGAGCUGUCAUCGCGUCUUCUUUCUCUUGGUAUAGUGUGUGUCAACAAAAGUUAGGUAGUUUGUUGUUGGUGGACCUUUUUUUUUCUCUCUCCUCCCCCUCAAAUUACAAGUUGAUUCUCUUUGUUUUUUUUUUUUUUUUUUCGGUCUUCUUUCUUUUGAUUUCUUUUUUUUUUAGUUAUUUUGUUAAAAUUUUGUUAUAUUCAAUUUAGUCCUUCGAUCCCAAUUUGUCAUGUAUCAAUGUUUUCAAUUGUAUCCUUAUUCUUUUGAUUCCUUAUAUAAAAGUUUUAUUGCCUUUAAUUUCACCAUCAAAUCCAAGUUUAUGGUGUAUUAUGUUUUUCAAUUUGGUUCGCAUUCUUUGUAUUUUUUAUUAUCAUUUUGUUAAUGUUAUUAUUCUUUUCAAUAUAACCCCCAAUAUAAAAAUUUCUUGUUGCUCUUAAAUUUAUUUUUUAUUUUAAUUCUCACUAUCAUUCUUUUAAUUGAUAUAUUUUUAUUUUGAUUUUUUUUGUAUAAUUUAUUUUUUUAUCUUUAAGCAUUUUAUUUCUUGGAGAUUGGGCUUAGUGCUUUUUUUAUGUAUAUUGUUUUCAGUAAGAUGACUAUGGUCACGGGUUUAAAAAACAAUUAAACCACCUUAUUAAUGUAAAACAUGUAAAUUGAUUGACCUUUGUAGUUCAACAAACAACUCAGUUCCUUCUAUAAUAAUAAAUAAAUCUAGCACAUCAUUUCCUUAAUACUAGUACGGACGGCUUAAACACAAUCUUCAUAGUUCAUUCUAUAAUAAUACAUAAAUCUAGCAAAUAAUACAUGUCAUUAUAUAGUUAUUUCUUUAUUUACCUGUUUUCGAUAAUUCCAAUUUACAAGAAUGGGAUCCAAUUCACCCUCCCAGCAAUAGUAAGAGACGGAGAAACAAAACGGUACAGCAUAAAUUUAUUAUUAUUAUUUUUUCAAAUAUUAAUCUCAUCGAACUAUAAAAUCUUUCUUGCAGGGAGUGAUUAGUGAAGAAAAGGUGGAUUCCUUUAACUUGCCUCUGUACUACUCUUCUGCUAAGGAGUUGGAGGAGAUUAUUAUAAAGAACAAUGGACAUUUCUGUAUUGAGAGAUUGAACACGCUUAAUCACCCCAUGAUGAAAAGGAAGCUCGAUGUCCAAUUUCAUAUUUCGCAAUUUAGAGCUGUUUUUCAGGGACUAUUGGAAGCACACUUCGGAAGGGAUGAUGUUGACAAAAUAUUCGAAUAUCUUGCCAAGAAGCUCGCAGAGAAUUAUGACCCCGUCUUCAAUGCGGCUAAGCAUCAACACGUCGUCGAGCAUUUUAUCCUGCUGAAGCGUAACAUUAAUUGAUGAAAGAUAUGCGUUAUUGGAUUUCAAUGUUUUGUGUUCUUAUUACCAUACCGAAUAAUGUUUGGAUCUUUGAUGCUCUGGUAGCUAUACUGCUACGAUUUUCUUUUUUCUUUUUUCUUCUAUCUGUCUGUUCUUGUUCUUGUUCUUGUUCUUGCGAGUGGUAGGGGAUACUGGAUAGUGCCAUACUUGAAUCUUUUAAAGCAGAGAAAUUAAUCGUGCAAUGAGAUUCGGCCAUUGGAUCCGAUCCUUACAACGAUCUACCCAGUUUCCAAAGAAUACCCUUCACAGGCUUCCAGAAAGGGUGGAAAUGUUUUAUUAUUAUUAUUUUCUUUCCCCUGAUAUAUCAAGAAUAUUCGUUAACAGGGAUAAAAUUCCAGAAGGGAAUAAAACAACUCUUUAUCACGAAUACUAUGAUGCUUCUGUACAAUUAAACGCAAAGUUCUACAGCAUCGUUGACAAUUUCUCAACACAAAAAAAUAAAAAAAUAAAAAUAAAAAACAAAACAGCGAGGAUUCUGCACCAAUACUGCCACACCGGGAUGCAACAUGGCAAAGAUGGGAGCUGAAACCAAAUUCAAAUUCCGAGACACCGAGCACCAUUCCCCAACCAUCGUCCACGGCACCCACCAAAAAUAUAUUCAGAAAGGAUUCGUUUAGCUUUUAAAAUAUUUUUGGCAAUUAUUGUCUUGUUUGGUUGAAAAAGUCAACAUUAUGAGAUGAUUAUUUAUGAUACAUCUAUUACAAAAGCACUGGUGAACACAGAGAGGAAAAGCUUUUCUGCAGCAUCAGAUCAAAUAUAUGAUUUUAUUUUAUUUUUAAUUAACGAAGGUGGCAUAUUAUAUGUAUGUGUGUAUAUAAUGAAACUCAUGAGUUUCACGUUUGUUUGACAUCAUACCCCUCAGGCCCUAACGCUUUCCAUCUUUCUAAUCAUGUAUAUAUGUAUAUUCUUCAACUUUUAAAAAUAUUCAUCAAUAAGUGAUGCUGUGUAUACCGUGGAUAGAGUUCUUCGAUCCUUAAAAUUUUAUAGCCUUGUAUUAUAGAGAGAAAAACUAGGGUUUUCAAGCGUGAAGUUACAAUUCUUGUCUAUAUAUAAAAUUAUAGAAAAAAAAACUCAUAUAUUGUGAUUUUAUAUUCUCUUCUGAAAAAUAGCCUACAAAGCUAUUUAAAUACAAGAAAAAUAAAUUCUAAUUAAUAAAAUGCUAAUUAAAUUAAAAAUAAUAAUCUAAAUAGAAAAGGAAAAUUUAAAAUCAACAAGGAAAAUAAAAAAAAACUCAAGCAGUAAUUUUUUAGCUAAAUAUGAGAAUAUUCUUGAACUUUGAUGAAGUUGUCUUCUAUUAUAUACUAGGAACAUGGACUUUAAAAUGUUGUGGCAACCUUUCAGCGUAAUCUGAUGAUUGAAUUAAAAAUUAUGGCUGGUUUUUGUCAUAAAUUAAGAUCAUUUGACUUAUCCAAACUUCUUAAGAUAGGAUUUUUGAUACGCAACCCAUGUCAGGAUCCCUUCUACUUGCAAAAAAAACUCCAUAUAAUCACAACUAAUCUAUAAAAACCACACCAAGAUUUAAAAAUUAAGUAAUCAGUCAAUAAAUUACAGCUCAACUAACAUUAAUAGUGAUAUUCCUUUCAAAAGUUCUUGAAUUCAAACAUAUAUUACAUAAAAAGAAAAUUAAUACUAAGUAAUCAAAUGUUACUUGCAUUUGUUAAUUUAUGCCCCGCACAUAAUAUAAUUUUAUUGUAGUUAUGCGAUGGAAGAAGUAAGAGGCGAAUUACUGAUAUAGAGAGAUCUACCCUUCUCUUGAAUGUGAAGGAGAGCUACCAUAUAUAGGAAGCAAACCUGCAUCAAGUUGAGGAGAAAUAGAGAGAUGGAAAAUGAAGAGACCAAAACAGUGCCAAAAUCAUGGGCUAUGGUUGGUGGAGAUGGAACUCGUAGCUAUGCCCAAAAUUCUUCCUAUCAGGUAUACAUUCUUUCUCUCAGUAUCUUCUUCUACAGACUAAUUUCAAUAGAACACUAUGUCUGAUGUUUAAUUACAAAAGUGUAUUUACUUAUUGCCAAGUGCAGAGGGGAGUGUUGGACGUCGUGGAUGAAUUGAUGAAUGAAGGCAUCAAAGAGACGCUUGACUUUAAAAGCCCUUGUUUUGAUUCUUCAAAUGUUUGCACUUUUCGAAUCGCAGAUUUUGGAUGUUCUGCUGGUCCGAAUACAUUCUUGGCAAUGGAGAAAAUCAUAGAAGCUGUGGAGCAGAAACACCAUGCCCAGUUCCAAAACUCCCCGCCCUUAGAGCUCCAAGUUUUCUUCAACGAUGUCACAACCAACGAUUUCAACACUCUCUUCAGAACCCUUCCAUUGUAUCAAAAAUACUUCGCAGCUGGAGUGCCUGGUACUUUUUAUGGUCGUCUAUUCCCGAAGUCAACGCUCCAUCUUGCGUACUCUUCCUAUUCCUUGCACUGGCUCUCCAAGGUUCCAGAGGAAGUUGUG
rnacentral:lncRNA from 1 species